UUGUGCCAACCAGAAGAAGCCGAAGGUUGGGGAACGCUUAAAGCCCCCAAAGGGGGAAAAAGGAACAAUUUCGAAGGGCCACUUUUGUUCUUCCUGCUCUUUCCUCCUCUUACCGGUAACCGGCCAAUGCGACCAUUUUCCUAAGCCUUAAGGAUCAGCCACAUCACAAUGAUUGGACCUUCGUGAAAUAUUCAAUGGCCUCUUUUAAUUCUCAUAAAACGCUCGUCGGAAUUUCGAAUCCUUUCAAAGUCGUUGGAAGGACGAAAAGGAGGCUUUCCAAUUUCAUAAAAUUUGACAUCAGGCCCAGCCAAAAGACGAGGAACACAAGUCCUCGUCCUCUUAUAGUACUAGGUGGUACUGUAGGACAACGUAGUUCCAACAAAGGGAAAAGUGGAAUGUCACCAACACCGAAAGUGAGAGAGGGGAAAGGACGCAGGAGAAGGUCGCCCCUGGCUUUUGUAUGUCAUAGCCAAUAUAAUCCAAUUUCCUACCAACCAGAGCAGAGAUACUUCCCGUUCCUGAGCCCGAGCGAAAUGGAGCACAGACCUUUCGGUGAUCAUCCGCGACAAGAACAAGAUCCCCGGGUCAAUUGAGCACCUGUCAAAGGUUGAGCUAGAAGCUAUCAUUUUUGGAAAAGCCAUCAUUUUAACAGACCACGCUGAGAUAUCUCGUAAAUUGAAAUGAGUGCACCACCACGGCUUUUUACAAAAACUGAUGUUUGCCUUCCCAAGACGACGCAUGUUAUCCUUACAUGUAUUAAACUAAAUGUACCUUCUAUCACCAUGAGUUUUGAUAAAGCAUAUCUUUGCUCUAAUGGUGACAAAUAAAAGAACUUGAGCAUAACGGUUACUUGUGGUUCUA